rnacentral:rRNA from 1 species
CCUACGGGCGGCAGCAGUGAGGAAUAUUGGUCAAUGGACGAGAGUCUGAACCAGCCAAGUAGCGUGAAGGAUGACUGCCCUAUGGGUUGUAAACUUCUUUUAUAUGGGAAUAAAACGUUCCACGUGUGGGAUUUUGUAUGUACCAUAUGAAUAAGGAUAGGCUAACUCCGUGCCAGCAGCCGCGGUAAUACGGAGGAUCCGAGCGUUAUCCGGAUUUAUUGGGUUUAAAGGGAGCGUAGGUGGAUUGUUAAGUCAGUUGUGAAAGUUUGCGGCUCAACCGUAAAAUUGCAGUUGAAACUGGCAGUCUUGAGUACAGUAGAGGUGGGCGGAAUUCGUGGUGUAGCGGUGAAAUGCUUAGAUAUCACGAAGAACUCCGAUUGCGAAGGCAGUUCACUGGACUGCAACUGACACUGAGGCUCGAAAGUGUGGGUAUCAAACAGGAUUAGAUACCCCGGUAGUC